UCUUGUAAUUGGAAUGAUGGUGACCUAAACCCUCACCAGAGUAACAAUUGGAGGGCAAGUCUGGUGCCAGCAGCCGCGGUAAUUCCAGCUCCAAUAGCGUAUAUUAAACUUGUUGCAGUUAAAAAGCUCGUAGUUGAAUUUCUGCGUUAUCGAGUUAUUGACUCUUGUCUUUAAUCGAUUUCGCUUUUGGGAUUUAUCCCUUUUUACUUUGAGAAAAUUAGAGUGUUUCAAGCAGACUUUUGUCUUGAAUACUUCAGCAUGGAAUAAUAGAGUAGGACUUUGGUUCUAUUUUGUUGGUUUUUGAACCUUAGUAAUGGUUAAUAGGAACGGUUGGGGGCAUUCGUAUUUAACUGUCAGAGGUGAAAUUCUUAGAUUUGUUAAAGACGAACUACUGCGAAAGCAUUUGCCAAGGACGUUUCCAUUAAUCAAGAACGAAAGUUAGGGGAUCGAAGACGAUCAGAUACCGUCGUAGUCCUAACCAUAAACUA
rnacentral:rRNA from 1 species